AAAGGGACGAGGCGCGGCGAGGGUGGAGGCCGGCCGAAAGAUGUUGCAGUAAGUAAUGAAAAAUGAUUGAAAGAUGGCAAGUAGAAAGUUGGGACGUUGGGAGACUGUUUAACCAGGCAUUCGCCGGGAACAAUAUGGCAGGAAAUAAAAUAGCUAUGUAAACAAUUCUGCUCAUCCAAUGCUCCGCCAUCACUCAGUUCCCCUCACAGGAGAACGAUCAAUAUCAGCAGUACUGUCAAUUACCGAUAUAUCUGCAGCCAGGCAUUGUGGGGACUCCUUGUCCAACAACGGCAACACCUGGACACUUUGCUACGAUUGGGCCCAUCCUAGUGGGCACCUGGCUACCAAUUCAUCCCAUCAGCUUGCUACUACCAUCAGUAUAUUCCAAAGGCACAAAUCCGCCAAGGGUUCCAGUGACAAUCCACUACAACAGCCAAGGAUGUACAGUGUACCUACACAAUGUUGUGUGCAUGCACUGCACACAAUGCAGUGUGAGGACUGUGCAGGAUUAACGUUCAGAACUCGGUAUUCCGGAUUCGUCGUCAUUCUCCAGGGAUCAUUAAAGUGCAAAGUGUGAUGCCCGACUACAGAGGAGCGAAUGGACAUUGUAAUUUAGGAGGCUGCCACUAGGCAGUGCUGUUACGCGUUAAACCAGAGACAAGCCAGCAGCAGAACAGUGAUUCAGUGUGUCCAGGGAGACGCCGAGGAGCGGAGUGCAGAGCGGGAGUACUGCAGGUCUGCUGUGAGAGACAUGAGACUGGGCAAAGCAUGAUCGCUGAAGUGGUGAUGUGACAGAAGCCGCCAAUGGGUACCUGCUGAUGGUGCACUGAGUGACUGCUGUAGAAACACGAGCUGAAGGGGGGAGAUGUGUCAAAGCUUGAAGAGAUAAA